rnacentral:rRNA from 1 species
AACUUUCAACAACGGAUCUCUUGGUUCUGGCAUCGAUGAAGAACGCAGCGAAAUGCGAUAAGUAGUGUGAAUUGCAGAAUUCAGUGAAUCAUCGAAUCUUUGAACGCACAUUGCGCCCCUUGGUAUUCCAUGGGGCAUGCCUGUUCGAGCGUCAUUUGUACCUUCAAGCUCUGCUUGGUGUUGGG